CUAGGGUCACGGAUGGAAUCAAUCGAUUUAAAUUCAAAUUCUCGAUUUUUACCCGAAAAUCGGAAACAACGCGAUAGUCUGACGUAAUCGCGUCACAUGACCUGGUUUCGGUUUCACUUUGGUUACUACUAGUGGAUUGUCUUCCGAAAAUAAAAUCUUAUCGAGAAAAUGGUGCGAAAAACUUUUAAUGAGGAUGAAGAAAAAGUUAUUCUAACUCGCUUUCUGGAGCGGGGAUAUCAUCUGACCCGGAAACACAAAGAAAAAGAAGGGAUCAUAACGUCUGUCCGGACCGAGCUUUAUUUAAAGCACGGGAAAAGGUACAAGAAGUGAGCCCUACAAAAGAAGUUUUGCGACCUAAAGCGCCUUCACCCUGAUCUUGUGAAAGAAUAUAGUCAGCGAUUAUGCCCAGGGGUUCCAAGAACUCACCAGUCCCUUCAUCUGUCGUAUAUACAGUAAGAAGGGAGACAUGGCGGAAUUAAUGGGCAUUUGAAAUAUAAGAUACAAACAUAUCAAAGACCAUCAUAAUAAGUCUGUUAUUAUCUUACAGAUAAGGGGCUGAUUUUUCGAAAACUUAAAAGAAGGCUCCUUGAGCAUCGAAAAUCUGAAGCUAAUGCAAUGCUGACUGUAACAGCCCAACAAAAUAAAAUAGAGCUACUUCAAGCUCGCUUACAGAAGCAUCAGCGUCAGCUGGAUGCUGAAUACAGGAAGCUGGAGGAGCAGAGGAAGAUCCAUAAUAAGGAGUUGCUGGAGAUCCAGAAAGAACUCUAAAGUUUGCCUUAGAGGCUUUUUUUUCAUAUUUUACAUACUUUCUAUUU